UACGUAGGGGGCAAGCGUUGUCCGGAAUCAUUGGGCGUAAAGAGCGUGUAGGCGGCCCGAUAAGUCCGCUGUGAAAGUCCAGGGCUCAACCCUGGGAUGCCGGUGGAUACUGUCGGGCUCGAGUCCGGAAGAGGAGUGUGGAAUUCCUGGUGUAGCGGUGAAAUGCGCAGAUAUCAGGAGGAACACCGAUGGCGAAGGCAGCUCGCUGGGACGGUACUGACGCUGAGACGCGAAAGCGUGGGGAGCAAACAGG
rnacentral:rRNA from 1 species